CCAAUCUCACUGAGAUGCUUGGCAGGGCUCUCACUGUAGAACUAAGAGCAUGCAUGUGUUACUUCACUAAGGCAUUCAUAACAAUAGGGCAACACUAUUCACAAACAAUACACCGACUUUUCUGAGGAAUGAAUUAGCUACUUAUCCUCAAAGAACUUGAGCUAGCUUAAGGAAGAAAUAAGUUUUAUUACCAUUUCCACUCAUUGAAUGG
rnacentral:misc_RNA from 1 species